rnacentral:rRNA from 1 species
GACAGAGGGUGCAACCGUUGUUCGGAAUUACUGGGCGUAAAGCGCGUGUAGGCGGCUAAGUAAGUCGGGCGUGAAAUCCCACGGCUCAACCGUGGAAGUGCACUCGAAACUGCAUAGCUAGAGUCCUGGAGAGGAAGGUGGAAUGCUUGGUGUAGAGGUGAAAUUCGUAGAUAUCAAGCGGAACACCGGUGGCGAAGGCAAUCCCCUGGGCCUGCACUGACGCUCAUGCACGAAAGCGUGGGGAGCAAACAGG